CCAGCCGCGGGAAUACAGAGGGUGCGAGCGUUAAUCGGAUUUACUGGGCGUAAAGCGUGCGUAGGCGGCUUCUUAAGUCGGAUGUGAAAUCCCUGAGCUUAACUUAGGAAUUGCAUUCGAUACUGGGAAGCUAGAGUAUGGGAGAGGAUGGUAGAAUUCCAGGUGUAGCGGUGAAAUGCGUAGAGAUCUGGAGGAAUACCGAUGGCGAAGGCAGCCAUCUGGCCUAAUACUGACGCUGAGGUACGAAAGCAUGGGGAGCAAACAGGAUUAGAUACCCCAGUAGUCCCUGUCUCUUAUACAC
rnacentral:rRNA from 1 species